GUCGCUUUGAAAACUGUGGAGGAAAAACAUGCCAUGAAUAUGUUAGGAAUAUUAUGAACAAGGUUGUGUCAAAUGCGUCAUGAGUGAGUACAAUUUAAACGGAAAAAUGGAUAAGCUGUCUUUUUGAAAGACAAAUACAAUGAAGUUAAUCGUCGCAACUGCUGCAAAGUCGAAGAAGUAUAUAGAAAAAGAUAUCGAACAUAGUAUUGGUGUGACUUUAAAACACGCUCCAUUGCGAAAAGGUGGUUUGAAAAAUCCAAGUAAUGACAACGGUUAAAAUGUCAAGAAAUGAA